rnacentral:rRNA from 1 species
CGCCUCUUGCAAAACCAAAGAAUAAGAGGUCCCGCCUGCCCGGUGACUAUAUGUUUAACGGCCGCGGUAUUUUGACCGUGCGAAGGUAGCGUAAUCACUUGUCUUUUAAAUGGAGACCUGUAUGAAUGGCAUAACGAGGGCUUAACUGUCUCCUCUUUCCAGUCAAUGAAAUUGAUCUCCCCGUGCAGAAGCGGGGAUAAGUACAUAAGACGAGAAGACCCUAUGGAGCUUUAGACUACCAAGACAGAUCAUGUUAAACACCCCCAAUAAAGGCCCAAACUUAAUGACCACCUGUCCUAAUGUCUUCGGUUGGGGCGACCAUGGGGCAGCACAAAACCCCCAUGUGGAUUGGGAGAACAAACCCAAAACCCUUUUCCCACACUCCCACAAGCAAGAGCUACAACUCUAACUAACAGAAUCUCUGACCUACGUGAUCUGAGUUCAGACCGGAGGUCAUA